CGACGUCGUUCUACCAUGCAAGUCGAACGGUAGCACAGAGAGCUUGCUCUCGGGUGACGAGUGGCGGACGGGUGAGUAAUGUCUGGGAAACUGCCUGAUGGAGGGGGAUAACUACUGGAAACGGUAGCUAAUACCGCAUAACGUCGCAAGACCAAAGAGGGGGACCUUCGGGCCUCUUGCCAUCAGAUGUGCCCAGAUGGGAUUAGCUAGUAGGUGGGGUAACGGCUCACCUAGGCGACGAUCCCUAGCUGGUCUGAGAGGAUGACCAGCCACACUGGAACUGAGACACGGUCCAGACUCCUACGGGAGGCAGCAGUGGGGAAUAUUGCACAAUGGGCGCAAGCCUGAUGCAGCCAUGCCGCGUGUAUGAAGAAGGCCUUCGGGUUGUAAAGUACUUUCAGCGGGGAGGAAGGUGUUGUGGUUAAUAACCGCAGCAAUUGACGUUACCCGCAGAAGAAGCACCGGCUAACUCCGUGCCAGCAGCCGCGGUAAUACGGAGGGUGCAAGCGUUAAUCGGAAUUACUGGGCGUAAAGCGCACGCAGGCGGUCUGUCAAGUCGGAUGUGAAAUCCCCGGGCUCAACCUGGGAACUGCAUUCGAAACUGGCAGGCUAGAGUCUUGUAGAGGGGGGGUAGAAUUCCAGGUGUAGCGGUGAAAUGCGUAGAGAUCUGGAGGAAUACCGGUGGCGAAGGCGGCCCCCUGGACAAAGACUGACGCUCAGGUGCGAAAGCGUGGGGAGCAAACAGGAUUAGAUACCCUGGUAGUCCACGCCGUAAACGAUGUCGAUUUGGAGGUUGUGCCCUUGAGGCGUGGCUUCCGGAGCUAACGCGUUAAAUCGACCGCCUUGGGGAGUACGGCCGCAAGGUUAAAAACCAAAUGAAUUGACGGGGGCCCGCACAAGCGGUGGAGCAUGUGGUUUAAUUCGAUGCAACGCGAAGAACCUUACCUGGUCUUGACAUCCACAGAACUUUCCAGAGAUGGAUUGGUGCCUUCGGGAACUGUGAGACAGGUGCUGCAUGGCUGUCGUCAGCUCGUGUUGUGAAAUGUUGGGUUAAGUCCCGCAACGAGCGCAACCCUUAUCCUUUGUUGCCAGCGGUUAGGCCGGGAACUCAAAGGAGACUGCCAGUGAUAAACUGGAGGAAGGUGGGGAUGACGUCAAGUCAUCAUGGCCCUUACGACCAGGGCUACACACGUGCUACAAUGGCGCAUACAAAGAGAAGCGACCUCGCGAGAGCAAGCGGACCUCAUAAAGUGCGUCGUAGUCCGGAUUGGAGUCUGCAACUCGACUCCAUGAAGUCGGAAUCGCUAGUAAUCGUAGAUCAGAAUGCUACGGUGAAUACGUUCCCGGGCCUUGUACACACCGCCCGUCACACCAUGGGAGUGGGUUGCAAAAGAAGUAGGUAGCUUAACCUUCGGGAGGGCGCUUACCACUUUAUGACUGGGGGAAGUCGAUCAAGACCACCG
rnacentral:rRNA from 1 species